rnacentral:rRNA from 1 species
CAAAAACAUGUCCUUUAGAAUUUAAUUUAAGGUCUAACCUGCCCACUGAAUUAUUUAAAUGGCCGCAGUAUUUUAACUGUGCAAAGGUAGCAUAAUCAUUAGUCUUUUAAUUGAAGGCUUGUAUGAAUGGUUGGACGAAAUAUUAACUGUUUCAUAUAAAAUUAAUUUAGAAUUUUAUUUUUUAGUUAAAAAGCUAAAAUUUUUUUAAAAGACGAGAAGACCCUAUAGAUCUUUAUAUUUUAUGUAUUAUAUUUAUUUAGAUUAUUUAAAUUAUGAUUAUAUAAAUUAUUUUGUUGGGGUGACAUUAAAAUUUAAUUAACUUUUAAUAUAUUUUUACAUUGAUUUAUGAUUAAUUGAUCCAUUAUUAAUGAUUAUAAAAUUAAGUUACCUUAGGGAUAACAGCGUAAUUUUUUUGAAGAGUUCAUAUCGAUAAAAAAGAUUGCGACCUCGAUGUUGGAUUAAGAUAUAAUUUUGGGUGCAGCAAUUCAAUAAUUAAGUCUGUUCGACUUUUAAUUUCUUACAUGAUCU